UUCUUUAUUUUUGAACUUUUAAAGUGGCGGGAGGGUAUUGGGAGCUCCCUGUUUCCUCUUGGGCUUGUGGUCCUGCUUCUGAAAUGCAGAAUGAUUUUACUCCCAUUACUGUUCCCUUGAAGGGUUCUCAUGGCCCCAGAGCAGCUAUUAAGGGACCAGGUCUGCCUCCCCCUACUAGGCUGAACAGCUCUGCUCAAGCAUGGCCCAGAGUCCCCAUGGCUCUAGACAGAGCCUCUUUCUUCUUCAGAACAGAAAGACACUGUGCGUCCCUUUUCCCUUAACCUGAGACCAUGGUGCCUACCCUCAGGCUCCCAAUAGCCAAGAGAAGGGUCCAGUCAGGUGACUGCCUUUGCUGUCUGGGUGAGGCUGUCCUUGCUAUCCACCUGCUUGUGCUUCCACAGCUUUGGGGACAGGGGCUGCAGAGGUGGGAGUAUAGUCGAGCUGUAGACCUGAGCUUCCAGGGACACAGAUGUAGCCCCAGAAAAUGACAGGAAGAGGAGACUCAGGAAGGAAAAGAGGUCUGUAAGUAGCACACUCGUGUGGCCAGCAAAAACCAAGCCAUUGUCCACUGACCCAUUCAGAGCAAUCAGGAGAGAGCAACAAGCUCCAAUAACCUGUCCAUCACUGCCCAAGGCUUCGUGGGAGAGUUAAAAAAGAAAAACAAACAAAAAAAGGUACAGCUAGGACCCCGGGAGCCGGGAUGAGAGACAGGUGUGCAUGUGAGAAGUGAAGUCCCAACAUGACACUAGGAGAGAGUUGUGACUAAAUCCUCUGGUGCUUUCAGGGUCCUGGGAUAGUCCCCAGGAUAUGGAAGAGCCAAGCCCUUCUCCUGUUCUGGGUGUGAGAGAGUGUCCUUCGCCUAAGGCCAAGGGAUUCCCACUCUGUGUGGGUGGGAAGAGGGAAGGGGAGCUUUCUGAGUGCUGUGUUCCCUCCCCCUCUCCCGGCUUCACUCCUGAGUCCCUGAAGUUUUGUCCUGGAGGAUGGAGAUGGAGGGCAGGGAUGAAGGAGAUGAGGACAAAGGAGCAAGCAGUGCCCGCUUCUCUGGGGAGCAUCAGUCCUUGGCCUAGAGUCCCUGGCCCUCCUUUCCAGGCCUCGCUCCACCAUAGACUUGCUGCUGGACCAUGGCUGACUGACUUCCCCUGUCACAUGUUUAGGUUUCCCACCUUGUUUCAUGGGCUCAUGAUUCUAGUAUCUGCUUGCCCUUAGGUGUUUGUGAGGGUUAGAGGUGAGGGCUACACGAUGGGGGGUGACUUCUUCUAGGGCCUCAGUGGCAGGGCCCAGAAACACUGCCUGUGUGAGCCUGCUUGGUAACAUCUGUCCCCCCACCUCUGCCAGAAGAAGACACCUUUACUCAUUUGGCCCAUCUCCUUUACCAAUGCCACUCCUACUCCACCAGCCAGAGGAGAAAAGUUGAACUCUGAGGACCAGAAUGGCCUUUCCCUGGCCACGGAGUGCUCAGCCCCUGCAGGUAGGGGUGGGGAGCCCAAGCCUGAAGCUCCUGUCUAGGUCCUGCUCCUGCUCCUGGGCCCUUCAUCAUCAGCUGGGAGGCCUCCUGACAGUUCUGAGGUAUCUCAGGACUGCCAGCUUUGUGUUCCUGAGCAGAGACACCCAACACCUCAGCCUGGCUCCUUCCUGCAGGCCAACGUCCCACACCCUCUGGUACCUGGCAAAAGAGUCUUUCUGAUAGAAACAGGAGCAGCAUCUUGGGUUCAUGUCCUACUUCAUUAGUCCUUUAUUCUUCAAUCAAUAAACAUUUAAGGACCUCUGU